UUUAAUUAAAUGCUAAUAUCUAGUGCUUGUGGCUACAGGGCUGAUGGAAUUUGUCACACGCUGCAGCAAAAAGGUUUUGAUGGGUUCCCUUCAUUUCAUGCCUCUGAAAAAGUGAAAAAUUAUGUGAAGAAGAAAUGACUUAAAUGGCUUAGAUGAUGGAACAUAAUGCAGGCAAAUUCACAAGCGACAUCAAAUUAGAGAAUGGCAUAGCAAAUACCCCCCCCCCGGGGGGGGGGGGCUCAAAAUGACCUUAACAGAUUAGAUUGCUGCGACAAAAUUUACAAAGUGAAUUUCAACAGAGGAAGGAUUGCUGGUCCUCUCUUCUUUGUAAGGGUAAUUCUGUGCCUGGGGCUUUGAGAUGUGCAAAGACAAAGUGAAACCUCCUGUUUUGGACUAUUGGUAGUCAGCUAUUCCACCUGGCUGCUUCAGAGUGAGUAAUGGCCACUCUAUCUGCCUCGAUGGGAAACCAGCUGCUGUUUGGCUCCUUCCUUCCAAAUCUAUCUUCUUCAGUAGCCAUUUCACCAGGUCACUGAACAUUUAUAAGAAGCUGGGAGGAAAAGAUAUCCAGGUGGUUCCUCUUACACAGAUGGUGCGGCAAGAAAUGAAGAGCCAGAAGUGCCUGGAAGUAUGAAGCAGAUGGUAGUUCUAGCAAAUCUUUCUUUUAUUUGAGGGUUUUGCCUGUCCCCGUGUUCUCUUUUGGUCCCACUGCCUCGCUUCACGCCGAUUUCCUGCAUGCUGUGAUGUAAAAUAACACACCUCGGUGUAAUCCGGUGUAACGCAGACAAAGUGGAAAGAAAAGGCCUCUAGGUCUCAUGCAGGGAGCUCCUCCUUACCGGCUUGCUGUCAGCCCCUGCAAAAGGGCUGAAUUAAAUUUAUUGCAAGA